UUGUGUUUUCUCCAGGCUAGAUCUCUUCCCUGACCUGGCUGAUGGUGUGGGCUCAGAAACAGUUGUGAUUGACCAGAGGGGGAACUGGGGAUGGUGACUUUUGGUACCAGCCAUUUUAGUGAAGGAGCCAAAAGAAAGAGAAGCCUGGAAAAACUAAAGCUGCAAGAACAGGAGCACGUUUGGAAAAGGGGGGAAAAGAGACGGGGUUGAAAGAAAAACACGUGGUGAUGAAAAGAAGUUCGAGAGAGGAAAAAGAAAGCUAAGCUCAAGAGGAGAGAAGAGAGGCAGAUAGAUGGAGAUAAGAAACAUCCCCCAAAGCAGCAGAAGGUACCAGCUGAAGAACAGCAGUGGCCAGAGAAUAUGCCUGAAUGGGAAGAAAGGAAAUCCCUGCUAGCUCAGAGAAGAGUGGAGGCUGUCAGACUGCUUACAGUGCUGUUAAGCCAUGUGAAAAGGCGGACAGUUAUGUGCAGCUGGAGUCGCUCAGAAAGAUACAAGGAAAGUGUAAGAAAAUAUUGCACAAAAAAGUGAAAUUCAAGACCCUUCACAGCACCAUGGCAGCCCCAGAUGUUCCCCCUUGUGAUGGCUCACUACUCCAGGAGACCCUCCAGAGGACAGGAGAUGAGAGGAGAUUAAUGUUGAGAAAAGAGAUGGAUGCAGAUGUCAGAGGAUGCCCUCUAUUUCCUCUUGAGAUAAUUCAGACAGAUGCCUGCUCAGAUACUUUCUGUGGAGCAGAGCCCAGAAGAGGAUGCUGA
rnacentral:lncRNA from 14 species